UUUCAGGGAUUGAGUGAUAAAUUAAUUCAUUUUUUUCUCAAUUUGUAGGAAUCUCGAAGUACAUUUAAGUUUCCAAACUAGCUAUAAAAGAGAUUCCUUCUCCUUACAAAAGCUGGAGGAGCAAUAACACUGUCUUCCUCAUGGCAGUGAUGACGAGCAGUGCCGGGCCGUCGACGACGACGCACUUCAUUGCCGCUAUACCUUUGGUCCUUCUGCUCAUUUCUGCAGCCUCCCCGUCAAGAUGCCAAGCCUGGAACCACCACACAAGCGCUACACAGCCGCAGCCCUCGUUGCUGGGGACGGCGCCGGCGGUGGCACGACGAGGACCGUCGUUGCGAGUGCGAUGCUACAACCUCUACUCGGAAGAGGAGUGUUCAAAUAGGUACUGCCACUCGGUUUGCGUGGUCCGCGAUAGAAAGUAUCGCCAGGGAGCCUACUGCGCUGAAACAAGAUGGGAGUGUUGCUGCCCACAUUGAAUGAAGCAGCGGUAUGGUGUACCUGCUCCUGUAGUGAGCCAGUGUAUUUUUAUGGAAUCUGUCAGAAUAUUUAUUUGUCACAUUUGUAACCAUAUUAGAUGCACAAUCUAGGGGACAUCUAUCUUCCUCUUGGCCAACUUCAUUUGAACAAUAAUACAAUAGUUUUACCGAA